UGGUUUUGAGAAGGAACCGGCCUCAUUC
rnacentral:piRNA from 2 species